AGAAAUAAAAUACUUCACAGACAAGCAAAUGCUGAGAGAUUUUGUCAUCACCAGGCCUGCCGUAAAAGAGCUCCCGAAGGAAACACUAAACAUGGGAAGGAAAAAACAGUACCAGCCACUGCAAAAACAUGCCAAAUUGUAAAGACCAUCAAGGCUAGGAAGAAACUGCAUCAACUAAUGAGCAAAAUAAAAAAAUUGAGAACACAUAAAGAAGAUAAUAAAAACCAGCAGCAACCUAGCAAAACAAGUAUUACUAGACCUAAAGAAAGAGAUAGACAGUAAUACAGUAGUAGUGGGGGACUUCACUCACAACACUAGACAGAUCAUCUAGAGAAAAAAUUAAUAAAGAAACAUUAGACUUAAAUUGUACAUUAGGCCAAAUGGACUUAAUAGACAUUUUACAGAACAUUCUACCCAACAACUACAGAAU
rnacentral:lncRNA from 1 species